rnacentral:tmRNA from 1 species
GGGGCUGACCUGGCUUCGACGUGGGUACGGAGUUGGAUCAGGGCAUGCCGAGCACCAGUUCGCUCGUAAAUCCACUGGAAACAAAGUAACUGCGAACGAUAACUCGUACGCCCUCGCCGCUUAAAACCGGUGAGCCUCGCAACAGUUGGCCGAUGGGCUGGGUCUGAGGGGUAACCUGAAGACUGCGAGGUCAUACACAUUGGCUCGCCCGGCGCCGGGUCACUCGGCACAGGGCUAAAUCAAGUGACUCGAGGUGACGGCAGCGUGCUGCUGCGCGGCCGGCACCUCUAAAACCAAAUCAGCCAGCUAAGCAUGUAGAUCUGCCUGACGAUGGCUUGCGGACGGGGGUUCGAUUCCCCCCAGCUCCACCA